rnacentral:rRNA from 1 species
AUUGAACGCUGGCGGCAGGCCUAACACAUGCAAGUCGAGCGAGCGGCGGACGGGUGAGUAAUGUAUGGGUACUGCCCGAUAGAGGGGGAUAACAACUGGAAACGGUGGCUAAUACUGCACACUAUCGGAUAACCCAUAUGGGAUUAGCUAGUUGGUGGGGUAAAGGCUCACCUAGCCGACGAUCUCUAGCUGGUCUGAGAGGAUGAUCAGCCACACUGGGACUGAGACGCGGCCCGGACUAAUACGGAGGGAGCAGUGGGGAAUGUUGCACAAGGGGCGCAGGCCUGGUGCGACCAUGCCGCGUGUAUGAAGGAGUCCUUGGGGUUUUGAAGUACUUUCACCGGGGAGGCGUUACCCGCAGAAGAAGGACCGGCUAACUCCGUGCCAGCAGCCGCGGUAAUAC